rfam:Candidatus Burkholderia crenata strain TZHbot9 BCREchr_ctg157, whole genome shotgun sequence.
CAAAGCCGCGCGCUGACGAAGAGAAAGCGGAUGUGCGGCCGACCCAGGAGGACAAGCGAGCAAUGGAUCGCGAAGUCCAUAACCAUCAAGGGUGGGGGUGGUAGUUCUCCGGCCGGUGGGCGCUCCAGG